rnacentral:rRNA from 1 species
UGGGGAAUAUUGCGCAAUGGGGGGAACCCUGACGCAGCCAUGCCGCGUGAAUGAAGAAGGCCUUCGGGUUGUAAAGUUCUUUCGGUAUUGAGGAAGGUUGAUGUGUUAAUAGCACAUCAAAUUGACGUUAAAUACAGAAGAAGCACCGGCUAACUCCGUGCCAGCAGCCGCGGUAAUACGGAGGGUGUGAGCGUUAAUCGGAAUAACUGGGCGUAAAGGGCACGCAGGCGGUUAUUUAAGUGAGGUGUGAAAGCCCUGGGCUUAACCUAGGAAUUGCAUUUCAGACUGGGUAACUAGAGUACUUUAGGGAGGGGUAGAAUUCCACGUGUAGCGGUGAAAUGCGUAGAGAUGUGGAGGAAUACCGAAGGCGAAGGCAGCCCCUUGGGAAUGUACUGACGCUCAUGUGCGAAAGCGUGGGGAGCAAACAGGAUUAGAUACCCUGGUAGUCCACGCUGUAAACGCUGUCGAUUUGGGGGUUGGGGUUUAACUCUGGCGCCCGUAGCUAACGUGAUAAAUCGACCGCCUGGGGAGUACGGCCGCAAGGUUA